AAUAGAUACCCUGGUAGUCCACGCCGUAAACGAUGAGUGCUAAGUGUUAGGGGGUUUCCGCCCCUUAGUGCUGCAGCUAACGCAUUAAGCACUCCGCCUGGGGAGUACGGUCGCAAGACUGAAACUCAAAGGAAUUGACGGGGGCCCGCACAAGCGGUGGAGCAUGUGGUUUAAUUCGAAGCAACGCGAAAAACCUUACCAGGUCUUGACAUCCCAUUGACCACUAUGGAGACAUAGUUUUCCCUUCGGGGACAACGGUGACAGGUGGUGCAUGGUUGUCGUCAGCUCGUGUCGUGAGAUGUUGGGUUAAGUCCCGCAACGAGCGCAACCCUUGUUCUUAGUUGCCAUCAUUUAGUUGGGCACUCUAAGGAGACUGCCGGUGACAAACCGGAGGAAGGUGGGGAUGACGUCAAAUCAUCAUGCCCCUUAUGACCUGGGCUACACACGUGCUACAAUGGACGGUACAAACGGUUGCCGACCCGCGAGGGGGAGCUAAUCCGAUAAAACCGUUCUCAGUUCGGAUUGUAGGCUGCAACUCGCCUACAUGAAGGACC
rnacentral:rRNA from 1 species